AAAACAUAUUACAGUCAUUCCUUAAAAAUAUUUGUAAUAAGUCUCAAAGACAUUGCCAAAUGUUACGACCCCCCCCUCCUGUUAACAUUGACACAUUUAUAAAACACACUUAUACAUUACUAUCAUCAUUAUCAUCUUACCUUAUAAUGAUUGUACUUAUCUUUUGUUAGGAGGCAAGACUUAGAUGGAUCAGUAUGUGAUGAAAUACAAGCCGACGAGGGAAAAAAACAAGUAUAAGAAAACUUAUCUUGACGUUAAUGACGAAUAUAGUGAACUCGGACAUCGAUUUUGAAAAACCCAUAGAACCUGCGUCAACAAAUCUGUGAUGUAAGUUAGGGAUAGUGCAUGGCCUAUGAUGAAUAAAAAUACAGACUGCGAAUUACAAAGAUUUAAUUAUUGUUGUAGGUCGUUCAGUUUCGAGUGAAGAGGUGUCUCAUUAGCAAUCACAC
rnacentral:lncRNA from 1 species